GGAUGUGAUCAUACCAGCACUAGAGCACCGGAUCCCAUCAGAACUCCAAAGUUAAGCGUGCUUGGGUGAGAGUAGUACUAGGAUGGGUGACCUCCUGGGAAGUCCUCGUGUUGCAUCCC
rnacentral:rRNA from 1 species